ACCAGACUCCUACGGGAGGCAGCAGUGAGGAAUAUUGGUCAAUGGGCGGGAGCCUGAACCAGCCAAGCCGCGUGAAGGAAGAAGGCGCCAAGCGUCGUAAACUUCUUUUGUCGGGGAACAAAGGGCGCCACGUGUGGCGUUGUGAGUGUACCCGAAGAAAAAGCAUCGGCUAACUCCGUGCCAGCAGCCGCGGUAAUGCGGAGGGUGCAAGCGUUGUCCGGAAUCAUUGGGCGUAAAGAGUUCGUAGGCGGCAUGUAAAGUCAGGUGUUAAAGGCGCAGGCUCAACCUGUGUAUGGCACUUGAUACUUGCAAGCUGGAAUGCGGUAGAGGUAAAGGGAAUUCCUGGUGUAGCGGUGAAAUACUUAGAUAUCAGGAGGAACAUCGGUGGCGUAAGCGCUUUACUGGGCCGUAAUUGACGCUGAGGAACGAAAGCCAGGGUAGCAAAUGGGAUUAGAUACCCUGGUA
rnacentral:rRNA from 1 species